rnacentral:rRNA from 1 species
GAUGAACGCUGGCGGCGUGCCUAAUACAUGCCAGUCGAGCGAACAGAUGAGGAGCUUGCUCCUCUGACGUUAACGGCGGACGGGUGAGUAACACGUGGAUAACCUACCUAUAAGACUGGGAUAACUUCGGGAAACCGGAGCUAAUACCGGAUAAUAUAUUGAACCGCAUGGUUCAAUAGUGAAAGACGGUUUUGCUGUCACUUAUAGAUGGAUCCGCGCCGCAUUAGCUAGUUGGUAAGGUAACGGCUUACCAAGGCAACGAUGCGUAGCCGACCUGAGAGGGUGAUCGGCCACACUGGAACUGAGACACGGUCCAGACUCCUACGGGAGGCAGCAGUAGGGAAUCUUCCGCAAUGGGCGAAAGCUUGACGGAGCAACGCCGCGUGAGUGAUGAAGGUCUUCGGAUCGUAAAACUCUGUUAUUAGGGAAGAACAAAUGUGUAAGUAACUAUGCACGGCUUGACGGUACCUAAUCAGAAAGCCACGGCUAACUACGUG